rnacentral:lncRNA from 1 species
AUGCCGGGUUACCGGAGGACACCGCCUGCUACGGACACCGCUGACCCCGGCCCCGCCGGGCUGCCUGAGGGGAGCGGCGCUGCAGGGCUCUGCCGCCCCUUUUCUGAGGUGAUCGCCGCUGUGCUAAGCCACCGGACCCCCCCCGAGGGACACGGCCCCGUCCCUGGGCCAGCGCGGGGGCUGCGAGAAAACGGAGUACCGGGAGAGAAAAAAGAGAGAAAACGCGUUUAUUCCCCAACGCGCUCCUCACAGCCCGCGCCGCGCGGGGCUGCCCCUCAUGGCGGAGGGCGGGCGGCCGCGGUGAGGCGCGCAGGUGUGUGGCCGCGCACCUCCGCCCUUCCCGGGCGGCUCCCCCCGGCCUCCUCCUCCUCCUCCUCCUCCUCCUCCUCCUCCUCCUCGUCCUCGUCCCUGUCCCUGUCCCUGUCCCCGAUCGGGGUCGGCGGCCACGGCGCGGCCCCUCUGAGGAGAAGCAGGGAGGGGCGGGGGCAGCAGCAGCACGCGCCGCUUCCCGCGCACCACGCGCGGCCACCGCCGCUUCUGCCGCUGCCGCCGCUGCCCUCGGCGGCUCCGCGGCCAUUGACGUCAGCGCGGGCCGCACGUGACCCCCCCGCAGCCAAUGGGCUGAGCCCGGAGCCGCUCCGGCGAGCGAGGCGAGCGCUGCCGGCAGCCUCCCGCCGCCUCCUCCUCCUUCUCCUCCCGCGGCGGCGGCGGCGGCGCGCGGGGCCAGCACACACAGACACACACAGACACACAGACACACACAUACAUCCACACCCCUCUCUCUCUCACACACACACACACACACACACGCACAGGCAGAGACCUCCCCGCGCGCCCCAGCCCGCCCCGCACCGCCCGGCCACGCGCGGGCACCCACGCACCCACCUACAUGCACGCGCGCGCCCGCCCCGGGGGGAAGGAAGGAGCCGCGGCCGGACGCCCCGCAGCCCCCGCCGCCAGCACCGCCACCGCCACCAGCAGCAGCAGCAGCAGCAGCACUACCACUACCAGCAGCAGCAGCAGCCCCCGCCGGGACCACCGCCGCCCCCGCCCCGCUCUCUCCCGGCCGGCAGCGUGGAUGUGGCGCCGUGCGAGCCGCCGGGGGACCCGCCGGGGGGCGGACCGCCGACUCUGAGGCCGGGGCUCGGCCGCUGCCCUUCUCCCUUUAACCCCCGCGGUGUGUGCGGAUCCCUUCCCCCACGGCGAUUUUUUUUCCUCUUUUUUUUUUUUUCUCUCUUUUUUUUUUUCCCCCUCCUUUUUUCCCCUUUUCCCUUUUUGUCCCUCCUUUCCCCAUCCUUUUCUCCCCUUUUCCCACCCUCCUCCUAUUUUCCCCCAUUUUUUUUUCAAAUUUUCCCCUUUUCCCCUUUUUUUUCUUUCAUUUUUUCCCCUUUUCUCCCCUCUCCCCCCCAUUUUCCCCCCCUUUUUUUUUCCUUUCUUAUUUAA